UUCAUGACUUACUUGACCUCAAAUCAGGUAGGAUUACCCGCUGAACUUAAGCAUAUCAAUAAGCGGAGGA
rnacentral:rRNA from 1 species